GCGAUCCUCUUUCUUCAGCCUCCAGAGGAGCUGGGACCACAGGAAGAACAAAAUGCUGCCCCUUCCCUGAUGAAAGCUGCCCAGUGUAAUCAACCUACCACAAGGAAAUUGGAAGAUCAUCCUGGGGAGCGGUGCCAUAUAGAGGGGCCCCCAGCCCACUGGAUGGUGCCUCCCCACAUAGAGGGUGGAUUGUUAUAGAAUUCAACUCAGGUCUGCUCACCCAGUGCAGUAAGACUGAUACCUACACUGACAUUUGCAGUGGGAGGAAAGGAGGUGUUUAUCUGGACAUUGUCAAGCAAGGCGGAUGAGGCAGCUAAUGCUUAAGUUCCCACUUCCCCAGUGGCUUGCAAGCUCUUCUAAGUUGGGAUUGAUGGAACUUUUUUUUAAACGAAGCGUCUAAGAUUUGACUUUUCAAAAAGCCCCUCAAGCUCAAACAAGGAUUUAUUGUGCCUGCAAAUAACUAUGAACUGGGUGAAUUCCUCUCAUCUUGAGGUCACAAGAUUACUUGGAGUUCCUAGGCCUGUCAGAAAGUGACAUGCUUUUCUUACCACAGGUCAGAAAAUCUGUAAAUAAACCGCAUAGAGAAGGUACAAGUUUUUCAGAUUCUUUGGCAUUUGAGAGUUGCUUCGUGUAUACGGCCCUGUAAUGGAGCAAAUGGCCAGCCAGGAAACCAAAGUAUGGACAAGGGGACAGAAGCAUCUGUAGAGGAAGUUUUACGAUUGGCCCUCGUCAUCCAUGUGGAUGGUGUUGCCCAUAUGCUACGUGUCUGUGGACCACUUUUGAGGGUGCCUCAAAAGUGACAGAAGGUCUAGAAAGCUUGUUAGUAAAAUGCUACUAAAAAGUAUGACUCACCGUGGUGAGAAAGAUCGCCAAGCAGUGACAGCAGUGAGUUUGCUGCUGUUAUUUUCUAUGUGAGCGGUCACGAAAGCACAAGUAGCCGCUGAGACAAGUGUAGGGAAGCUGGGAAAAGAAUCACAGUGAGAAAGGGAUGUGAGAACUUCCAUGUCUGUGUUAAUGUCUGGGUUUUUUUGGAUAAACUUGAAACUCAAGAGGCACAGUUGGAAAUCGUACCUUGCCACUUUGUGUGGCUGGGAGAGAGAAAGCUGGGCCAGCUGACUGUGUGGACUGUCCUUGCCAAGCCAGGCUGGGGACGCAAAUACCUGCAAUUCUUGGGAACCAACCAUGGAUUCGGAUGAUGACAUAGAGGUUAACUCAGAGGAGGAAGAUCAUUAUCCUCCCCGUUUGAGAGUGAAACUGUUCAUGCAGUGGAAAGCCUGAUUCCAACACACACAGGCCUGGGCAGGAUUACUGGAUACAGCAAAAACUUUUAAACAGCUGCCAAGAGAAAGCUUUACGUACAUGAAUGGUGCAGCCAUGGGACACCAGUGGGGAUGAUAUCUCCCUAGAAGGGAAUGAACCUGAAAAAUCGAGACAGAAGUACCCCCGGAAGUGAAAUAAUCCCCUUAUGGAACAAGAUAUGGGGAAAGCCUUUUCAGAUUUCCUAGAAACUCAAAAGGGAAGAGAUGAGUUCUGACUGGUUGCUAAAGGAAAAUGGAAAAAGGGAGAAACAAAGUUUGCUGGACUGAAAAAAGGAGUUUAAAAAGUUGCAAUUAGGGUUACUAGGAAACAAAUGUGGUAUGAUCUGAUUUCAGCUGGGAUUGACAAUACAGAUGGGCAACCCAAUGGCAUAUUAGUGGGGUUUGGAAAGACGUGACUCCUGAACAAUAGUUUAGACCCCUUCUUAGUACCCGCCCCCUGCCACCUCUACCAGAAGAGGGAGAAAGACAAGAAGAAGCCCUCGGUAAAAAGAUCCCAGUCUCUGCAAUUCAGGGGUGGAUUUCUUUCCAGCCUGGAGAUCAUAGGCAUUAUAUUGAUGAUAUUCUAACUUCUGAGGACUGACUUGUCAUUGCUACAACAACACCGAGAUGCACUGGCACCCUUCUUCAGUCCAGAUGAUGGGCCAUCAACUCACAAAAGUACAAGGCCUGGGACCAGCUGCAAAGUUCCUAUGGAUCACUCGUCCAGGUAAGACACACCUUACUUCAGGCUUGGUCACUGAGAAAAUAUAACAAUUUUGCAUACCUAAAACAGUUAAACAGUUACAAAGCUUCCUAGAUCUUUGGGGAUACUGGUGGGCUUUCAUCCCAUAUUUGUUUCAAUGUUUGCAUCCCCUAUACUGACUAUUAAAUAAGCAAUCUCAAAUGGGCACAGUAGCUCACACCUGUAAUUCCAGCACUUUGGGAGACUGUGGCAGGCAGAUCACUUGA